rnacentral:lncRNA from 1 species
UCCACCUGUUCUGUGAAGACAAGGGGCAGCUCAUCUGCUGGCACUGUGAGCGGGCACCGCAGCACAAAGGGCACACCACAGCUCUUGUUGAAGACGUAUGCCAGGGCUACAAGGAAAAGCUCCAGAAAGCUGUGACAAAAUUGAGGCAACUUGAAGAGGAGUGCACAGAGCAGAAGGUGUUCACAGCAAUGCACAUAACUAAAUGAGAAGACACAAAUUCAGAGACAAAAAAAUCGUUUGACUUUAAGAAUCUCCAGAGUUUCCUACAUGAGGAGAAGAAGUCUUAUCCCUGGAGACAGGAGAAGGAAGAACGAUAGACUCUGAAUAGACUGAGGGACCAUGGGACCAGUCUGGGGCUGAAUUCAAGAGCCACAUGCUGGAACUGGAGGAAAAAUGUCGGGGCUCAGCCCAAAAAUUGCUGCAGAAUGUGAAUGAUACUGUGGGCAGGAGUUGGACUGUGAAGCUGGAAACAUCAGAGGCCUUCUCCUUAGAGCUUCAUACUAUGUGCAACAUUUUUGAGCUUUAUUGACUCUGGAUCCAGAUACAGCUCAUAGUGAACUAAUUCUGUAUGAGGAUUGGAGAAAAGUGACUUGUGGAUAUCCCCAGGACCAUCACAGCACUUCUUCCAGGAGAUUUAGUGCCUUCCCCUGUGUCCUGGGUUGUGAGGGCUUCACCUCUCAGGAAGAUGCUCCUUCAAAAUGGAUGCUGGAAAACGAACCAGGUGGGAUUUAGGAGUUUGUAUGGCAAUAUGCAGAGGUGCACUGACAUGAAGCAAGAGCCUCAGUCUGGAUUCUGGAACCUCGGACUAUGCCAAAAGAAAGGCUAUGUAGCCCUUACAUCUCCCUUAACUUCCCUUCAUAUGUGUGAGCAGCCCUUGGUUGUGGGAGUGUUUCUGGACUCUGAGGCUGGAGUUGUAUCCUUUUACAACAUGAGUACUGGCUACCACAUCUUCACCUUCCCAAAGGCUUCCUUCUCUGAUACUAUCCGGCCCUAUUUCCAGGUUUAUCAAUAUUCUCCUUUGUUCCUGCCUCCCCCAGAUGGUUAA